rnacentral:SRP_RNA from 1 species
GCCAGGCGCAGUGGUGCAUCCUGUAGUUCCAGAGACUCAAGAGGCUGAGGCAGGAGGAGCACUUGAGACCAGGAGGUCUGGGCUGUGGUGCGCUAUGCCAAUCAGACACCCCCACUAAGUUUGUCAUCAAUAUGGUGACCCCCCGGGAGCAGGGGACCACCAGGUUGCCUAAGGAGGGGUGAACAGGCCCAGGUCGGAAACUGAGCAGGUCAAAACUCCUAUGCUAACCAGCAGAAACAAAUGGAGUACAUAUCAGAGCCUGAAUUAGAUCUCACAAGGUCAUU